rnacentral:snRNA from 1 species
CUACCUUCUAUCAUUAUUAUUAUUAGCUCUGUUCUUUGCAGUGUAAUUGCUACAACGGUCUCUAAACUGAGACCAAUGAAAUCACCUGUAUUUUUCCCUUACGGAUGGGUGCUGUGAGUUUGCUCAACCCUGUCCACGGGUCGGCCUCGUAUUGCAUUACCUCGAAGAUAGGCCCAUUAUUG